ensembl:antisense_RNA C08F11.116 ncRNA
UUUUAAUCAAGAAAUCAUUCUUUCCACGCUUGCUACCACUACUAGAUUUUCAGAUUUCUUCUUGAAAAUUGGAUGAGUUAAGUAGAAAACCCAUGGAACCACACAAGUGUCAAUAUCAUUUGUGAAAGGACGAAUAACAAUCAAGUAGAUGCUCUAUGUGACGCCAAGGAUCCCAUUGAAGGAGGCACGGAGAGCUUGAAUUUUAUAAGUUUUACAAUUAAUACCAAAUUGAAACCGAGACAAAUGGAAAACCAGAAGAAUGUGUUAAACAUUAAUA